rnacentral:sRNA from 1 species
GGUCAAAAGGAGAGUUGCUCUUCAUGUUCCCAGGCUAACUCACAGUUUAACCAUUUGGAAUGAGAACACUAGCUUUUAACUGGAAAUAAAAUUUGGUAUAAAACGGUCAUACCUUAGGUUUAAAAGCCUUAAAACUAACAAAUAGCCUAAUUAUGUAAGUGAAUGAUUAUGCACCUCAAUCCCUCUAGGAUAACUAAAUAUGGAGAAGAGUUCAUUGAGACUUGGAAGGAGCCAAAGGAGACAGGGGAGCCCCAGGUUUUCCUGGCCUCCCGGGCAGAAGAGGGGCCAUGGGAGAGGCUGGACCUCGAGGACCCACAGGCAUAGAAGGAUUCCCGGGGCCACCAGGUCUGCCCGGUGCAAUUAUCCCUGGCCAGACAGGAAAUCGUGGUCCACCAGGCUCAAGAGGAAGCCCAGGUGAGCCUGGUCCCCCUGGACCUCCAGGGAGUCACGUAAUAGGCAUAAAAGGAGACAAAGGGUCUAUGGGCCACCCUGGCCUGAAAGGUCCACCUGGAACUGCAGGAGACAUGGGACCACCAGGUCGUCUGGGAGCACCAGGUACUCCAGGUCUUCCAGGACCCAGAGGUGAUCCUGGAUUCCAGGGGUUUCCAGGCGUGAAAGGAGAAAAGGGUAAUCCUGGAUUUCUAGGAUCCAUUGGACCUC